rnacentral:ncRNA from 1 species
UCUUAUCAAGAGUGGUAGAGGGACUGGCCCAAUGAUACCCGGCAACCUAUUUUUAUGAAAUAUAAAUGUGGUGCUAAAUCCUGUAGCUUAAAGCUAGUAGAUGAG